GAAAAUAAACCAAACCAGCACCAGUGCUUUAUCUUUGUUUCCACUUUUCUGCAUUUAAGCAUUUUUCCACAGGAACAAUCUAACUUUCCCAUUCAGGAAGGUCCCCGGUGGCGAAGUGGUCGUGAUGGUUAGCAGCACUUUCCGGGGGUGGGACAAUUCUCUGGUGCAGACUGGCUGUUCCCCUCCAUGCACAACGGCACUCUGAAGUCCCGAAGGUGCGAAGGUGUGCUGUCAGAACCCACCUGCGCCACCUGAGAGCCGGAGGGUGAGCAACAGACGACUCUUGAGCAAGAGAAGGAAGCUCUGGGCAUGGGCCCUCAUCGUGCCUCCCCCGUGACUCACCGACAGACACCUCCGAACACGGCUGC